CAGUAGCCGCGGUAAUACGAAGGUCCCGAGCGUUGUUCGGAAUCACUGGGCGUAAAGGGAGCGUAGGCGGCGUGGUAAGUCAGAUGUGAAAUCCCGGGGCUCAACCCCGGAACUGCAUCCGAUACUGCCGUGCUAGAGGAUUGGAGAGGUAGCUGGAAUUCUUGGUGUAGCAGUGAAAUGCGUGGAGAUCAAGAGGAACACUCGUGGCGAAAGCGAGCUACUGGACAAUAUCUGACGCUGAGGCUCGAAGGCCAGGGUAGCGAAAGGGAUUAGAUACCCCUGUAGUCCCUGUCUCUUAUAC
rnacentral:rRNA from 1 species